rnacentral:rRNA from 1 species
AUUAAGUUUCCCUUCGGGGCAAAGUGACAGGUGGUGCAUGGUUGUCGUCAGCUCGUGUCGUGAGAUGUUGGGUUAAGUCCCGCAACGAGCGCAACCCUUGUGUUUAGUUACUAACAUUCAGUUGAGGACUCUAAACAGACUGCCCUUGAAAGAGGGAGGAAGGUGGGGAUGACGUCAAAUCAUCAUGCCCCUUACGACCUGGGCUACACACGUGCUACAAUGGUCUGUACAAAGGGUUGCGAAGUAGUGAUACCAAGCUAAUCUCAAAAAACAGAUCUCAGUUCGGAUUGCAGGCUGCAACUCGCCUGCAUGAAGUCGGAGUUGCUAGUAAUCGUGAAUCAGAAUGUCACGGUGAAUGCGUUCCCGGGCCUUGUACACACCGCCCGUCACACCACGAGAGUUGGUAACACCCGAAGCCAGUGAGCUAACCUAUGGAGGCAGCUGUCGAAGGUGGGACCAGUAAUUGGGGUGAAGUCGUAACAAGGUAGCCGUAUCGGAAGGUGCGGC